rnacentral:rRNA from 1 species
CGAAUGUAAUGAAAUAAUGUUGUGCUGAGCACUAAUAUACAACUUUCAACAACGGAUCUCUUGGCUCUCGCAUCGAUGAAGAACGCAGCGAMAUGCGAUAAGUAAUGUGAAUUGCAGAAUUCAGUGAAUCAUCGAAUCUUUGAACGCACCUUGCACCCUUUGGUAUUCCAAAGGGUAUGCUCGUUUGAGUGUCAUUAUACUCUCACGCUCUCUGAUUAGAGAGUGGUGGACUUGGAUGUUGCCUGGUACUUGCUGUCAGGCCUCAUCUCAAAUGAGUUAGUACGGCUCCUAGUUAAACMUAGUACGGCGUUAUAACUAAACCCCCGCCGUUUUUUUGUCUGAUUAGGAGCUCUGUGCUUCAAACCGUCUUCGGACAAUGUCUGAUACCUUGACCUCAAAUCGAGUAGGAUUACCCGCUGAACUUAAGCAUAUCACUAAGCGGAGGA